CCGAGACCUACGGCAGGCCGAGAUGAUUCCUUCUCUCUUUUUGGAUUGCAAGCACACGGGCAAGACAUGCCAGAACCAGAAGUUGCCUUGGGGUUCAUCGGGGAUUGCUCCUCAAGAAAAGUUGUUUCGCAUCGGAAAUUCUCUUAAACCGUACAUUUGGGGACAGUCCAAUUCUGUUGGCAGCUCAAUCCCAGAGGAAAUGUCUCCUCUGGACAUUGUGCGUCAGUUAUUAAAUCUUUAAUUUCCUUUCACCGGGAGAAAUUUAUUUCUUCUGCUACUUCAGGACAACUUUAUGUGCCUUGUAAUAACACACUCGAACUGCUCUGGACUUGAUGUUUGAGCCCCACACACAUUCAUCUGGUGAAGGCCUAACCCCACAGGGACGGUAUUUGGAGACACAGCAGGAAGGCUGCCAUUGAACACUGAGUCUGCUGCCACCUUGAUCUUGAUUGGAC